rnacentral:rRNA from 1 species
GAUGAACGCUGGCGGCGUGCUUAACACAUGCAAGUCGAACGGGAUCCAUCAGGCUUUGCUUGGUGGUGAGAGUGGCGAACGGGUGAGUAAUGCGUGACCGACCUGCCCCAUACACCGGAAUAGCUCCUGGAAACGGGUGGUAAUGCCGGAUGCUCCGACUCCUCGCAUGGGGUGUCGGGAAAGAUUCAUCGGUAUGGGAUGGGGUCGCGUCCUAUCAGGUAGUCGGCGGGGUAACGGCCCACCGAGCCUACGACGGGUAGCCGGCCUGAGAGGGCGACCGGCCACAUUGGGACUGAGAUACGGCCCAGACUCCUACGGGAGGCAGCAGUGGGGAAUAUUGCACAAUGGGCGCAAGCCUGAUGCAGCGACGCCGCGUGCGGGAUGACGGCCUUCGGGUUGUAAACCGCUUUUGAUCGGGAGCAAGCCUUCG